rnacentral:rRNA from 1 species
UACGAAGGGGACUAGCGUUGUUCGGAAUCACUGGGCGUAAAGCGCACGUAGGCGGAUGUGUCAGUCAGGGGUGAAGUCCCGGGGCUCAACCUCGGAACUGCCUUUGAUACAGCACGUCUCGAGUCCGGAAGAGGUGGGUGGAAUUCCUAGUGUAGAGGUGAAAUUCGUAGAUAUUAGGGAGAACACCGGUGGCGAAGGCGGCCCACUGGUCCGGUACUGACGCUGAGGUGCGAAAGCGUGGGGAGCAAACAGG